rnacentral:rRNA from 1 species
CUUGGUGGUUAGAGCGAGGCGGAACCACCCGUUCCCAUCCCGAACACGGUAGUGAAAUACCUCAGCGCGGACGAUACUGAGGGGGCAGCCCCUUGUGGAAAAUACGCCACUGCCAAGA